rnacentral:rRNA from 2 species
UUAAAUUGAAGAGUUUGAUCAUGGCUCAGAUUGAACGCUGGCGGCAGGCCUAACACAUGCAAGUCGAACGGUAACAGGAAGCAGCUUGCUGCUUUGCUGACGAGUGGCGGACGGGUGAGUAAUGUCUGGGAAACUGCCUGAUGGAGGGGGAUAACUACUGGAAACGGUGGCUAAUACCGCAUAACGUCGCAAGACCAAAGAGGGGGACCUUCGGGCCUCUUGCCAUCAGAUGUGCCCAGAUGGGAUUAGCUUGUUGGUGAGGUAACGGCUCACCAAGGCGACGAUCCCUAGCUGGUCUGAGAGGAUGACCAGCCACACUGGAACUGAGACACGGUCCAGACUCCUACGGGAGGCAGCAGUGGGGAAUAUUGCACAAUGGGCGCAAGCCUGAUGCAGCCAUGCCGCGUGUAUGAAGAAGGCCUUCGGGUUGUAAAGUACUUUCAGCGGGGAGGAAGGUGUUGUGGUUAAUAACCACAGCAAUUGACGUUACCCGCAGAAGAAGCACCGGCUAACUCCGUGCCAGCAGCCGCGGUAAUACGGAGGGUGCAAGCGUUAAUCGGAAUUACUGGGCGUAAAGCGCACGCAGGCGGUCUGUCAAGUCGGAUGUGAAAUCCCCGGGCUCAACCUGGGAACUGCAUUCGAAACUGGCAGGCUUGAGUCUUGUAGAGGGGGGUAGAAUUCCAGGUGUAGCGGUGAAAUGCGUAGAGAUCUGGAGGAAUACCGGUGGCGAAGGCGGCCCCCUGGACAAAGACUGACGCUCAGGUGCGAAAGCGUGGGGAGCAAACAGGAUUAGAUACCCUGGUAGUCCACGCCGUAAACGAUGUCUACUUGGAGGUUGUGCCCUUGAGGCGUGGCUUCCGGAGCUAACGCGUUAAGUAGACCGCCUGGGGAGUACGGCCGCAAGGUUAAAACUCAAAUGAAUUGACGGGGGCCCGCACAAGCGGUGGAGCAUGUGGUUUAAUUCGAUGCAACGCGAAGAACCUUACCUGGUCUUGACAUCCACAGAACUUUCCAGAGAUGGACUGGUGCCUUCGGGAACUGUGAGACAGGUGCUGCAUGGCUGUCGUCAGCUCGUGUUGUGAAAUGUUGGGUUAAGUCCCGCAACGAGCGCAACCCUUAUCCUUUGUUGCCAGCGAUUAGGUCGGGAACUCAAAGGAGACUGCCAGUGAUAAACUGGAGGAAGGUGGGGAUGACGUCAAGUCAUCAUGGCCCUUACGACCAGGGCUACACACGUGCUACAAUGGCGCAUACAAAGAGAAGCGACCUCGCGAGAGCAAGCGGACCUCAUAAAGUGCGUCGUAGUCCGGAUUGGAGUCUGCAACUCGACUCCAUGAAGUCGGAAUCGCUAGUAAUCGUGGAUCAGAAUGCCACGGUGAAUACGUUCCCGGGCCUUGUACACACCGCCCGUCACACCAUGGGAGUGGGUUGCAAAAGAAGUAGGUAGCUUAACCUUCGGGAGGGCGCUUACCACUUUGUGAUUCAUGACUGGGGUGAAGUCGUAACAAGGUAACCGUAGGGGAACCUGCGGUUGGAUCACCUCCUUACCU